CUUCUCUGUGGCCAGCUCAUGAGGUGCUGAUGGGAAGAGGAACUUGAAGUUACAUCUGCAAUGAACUGGGGGCAAGCAAACCCCAGCAAAAACUCAUGCAUCAAGAUGUUCUUCACGGCACAUGUUCCCUUAACGGUUUGGCUUUUAGUACACAUGGGAAUAGGAGUACAUUUUGGGAGCUCAAAUGCUUGCAUCAAAAAACAGUUGAGUAGCAUUGCUCUCUCUCGCUCUCUAACAAAUAUUCUGUUUAUGUAUUAGGCUAAAACAUUGUUAAGAACCACUCAUCAGAAUUCCUAAUUGUAUAUCACUCUUCAGCACCGAUACAUAGAUUUACCUACUAGGAACUGCAUAUUGACUGUGGGGCCUAUUGCUGCAGCAAUUGUAAUUGCAGAUAAACAGACAGGCUGAAUUAUCUCUAAAGAACCUGCAUUGAUAUUGACAAAGGAACUACU